rfam:Streptomyces sp. Mg1, complete genome.
CUUGAUGGAGCCCAGGCGCAGCGGCCGGUCCGCGGGGCGGUCCUGGCCGUAGGUGGCGAGCAGGGCCUGUGCCUC